rnacentral:lncRNA from 11 species
AUCAAUGGAAGCAACUGCAGGCUGACAAUUCCUGUCUUGGAGUUGUGUUAUCUGUGUUGUCUGUGUUGGAUUUCUUCUUUGCCCUUGUGUAUCUGAUGUAGUUUGAAGAAUGAGGUUAUAGACUGUCAAAUCCUUAAAUACCCUGCUGAUAGUUAUACUGUGCCUGCUCCGUAAGAUGUCCUUAAUUUGAGCUAGGCAGUCUGGCAUUUCAAGGGAAUGGAAGGAAUGCUAGAACAAUAAUAUGUUCUUCCUGCCUUUUCCAAGGCCAGAUGGGAAGAUUUUGUUGAUUAACGACUGCAUCAUGUGGGGCGGGAUUUGGUGGUAAACACCGAUCCAGCCCCGGUCACCCAUGAAGCCAGCCGGCUCCGAUCACACAACAUCAAGCUGGCUCCGUGGAUGAAGGAGGGCGGAACUGGCAUACCACCACCACUCUGGCAACACAGGAGGCUUCCCAUGUUGCCAUUCCUUCAAUGGAGGAAGAUCUGCUGGAGGAGCGCAGCAAAGUGGGGCAUGUAGCAUUGACUUCCCAAUAUCCGGCAGCAAACCGAAGUGCCACCAAGAGCCACUGCCUAAGGUCACUCAUGUGGUGAUACCCUUUAGGAAAUUACAAAAUCUUGCACAUGCGUUCUGGGAACCCAGCAGAGGAACUCAUAAAAAAAGAAAUGAUUAGAAAUAAUACUGAAUGACACAAGGG